rnacentral:rRNA from 1 species
GUCGAACGAACUCUGGUAUUGAUUGGUGCUUGCAUCAUGAUUUACAUUUGAGUGAGUGGCGAACUGGUGAGUAACACGUGGGAAACCUGCCCAGAAGCGGGGGAUAACACCUGGAAACAGAUGCUAAUACCGCAUAACAACUUGGACCGCAUGGUCCGAGUUUGAAAGAUGGCUUCGGCUAUCACUUUUGGAUGGUCCCGCGGCGUAUUAGCUAGAUGGUGGGGUAACGGCUCACCAUGGCAAUGAUACGUAGCCGACCUGAGAGGGUAAUCGGCCACAUUGGGACUGAGACACGGCCCAAACUCCUACGGGAGGCAGCAGUAGGGAAUCUUCCACAAUGGACGAAAGUCUGAUGGAGCAACGCCGCGUGAGUGAAGAAGGGUUUCGGCUCGUAAAACUCUGUUGUUAAAGAAGAACAUAUCUGAGAGUAACUGUUCAGGUAUUGACGGUAUUUAACCAGAAAGCCACGGCUAACUACGUGCCAGCAGCCGCGGUAAUACGUAGGUGGCAAGCGUUGUCCGGAUUUAUUGGGCGUAAAGCGAGCGCAGGCGGUUUUUUAAGUCUGAUGUGAAAGCCUUCGGCUCAACCGAAGAAGUGCAUCGGAAACUGGGAAACUUGAGUGCAGAAGAGGACAGUGGAACUCCAUGUGUAGCGGUGAAAUGCGUAGAUAUAUGGAAGAACACCAGUGGCGAAGGCGGCUGUCUGGUCUGUAACUGACGCUGAGGCUCGAAAGUAUGGGUAGCAAACAGGAUUAGAUACCCUGGUAGUCCAUACCGUAGACGAUGAAUGCUAAGUGUUGGAGGGUUUCCGCCCUUCAGUGCUGCAGCUAACGCAUUAAGCAUUCCGCCUGGGGAGUACGGCCGCAAGGCUGAAACUCAAAGGAAUUGACGGGGGCCCGCACAAGCGGUGGAGCAUGUGGUUUAAUUCGAAGCUACGCGAAGAACCUUACCAGGUCUUGACAUACUAUGCAAA